GGUUUCUGCAGGGUUUUCCCUGCCGUUAUAAGGCUAAUGUACAGCACCCAAGCCGUUUUUGGCACCACCUAAGCCGAAUGAAUGUAAAAAUCAAUGUGAGCAUCAAAACUCC